ensembl:snoRNA
AGGCAUAUCCGUAGACCUUGCCUUACUCGGAUCAUGGUCAGGUAGGGGGGACAGUGUAUGCCAGAGUGAUUGGAGUUCAUGCCAUCUCUUAUCAGCUUAAUCAGUGGCUUGAUAAAUUGCAGGACUCCAACAUUC